GGCCUCGUGGCGGAUUGGUUACGCAGAGGGCUGCAAAUCCUCUUAGCCUCGGUUCGAAUCCGAGGCGAGGCCUCCA
rnacentral:tRNA from 1 species